rnacentral:siRNA from 1 species
GACUCAUCGUUAAGGCUCUGAC